UACAGAGGUCCCAAGCGUUGUUCGGAUUCAUUGGGCGUAAAGCGUCCGCAGGUGGCAAUGUAAGUCUGCUGUCAAAGCGUCUGGCUCAACCAGAUAAAGGCAGUGGAAACUACAUAGCUAGAGUGAGGUAGGGGUAGAGGGAAUUCCUGGUGUAGCGGUGAAAUGCGUAGAGAUCAGGAAGAACACCGGUGGCGAAAGCGCUCUGCUGGACCUAAACUGACACUGAGGGACGAAAGCUAGGGGAGCGAAUGGG
rnacentral:rRNA from 1 species